GAUCUUCUCUGUGGCUCGUCCUUCACCUUGGCUUUAUCUCCUUUAGCAUCCCCUUCAGCCUUUCUCUUGGGCAUGGUGGCGGCAGAGGCAGCAGGCAGGU